rfam:Brassica napus, WGS project CCCW01000000 data, contig: 5547
UCCAAUGAUGGCAUGAAAUCUUUGAGACCUGAUUUUUUAUUUAUUGAUGAAACGCUAUAAGCAUUUAUAAGCUGAGGAU